CAAACUUCGCCAAAGUAUUAAAACAUUUUACCGCCCAAGUAUAGGUGAUAGAAAAGGUCCUUAGAGCUAUAGAAAAAGUACCGCAAGGGAAAGCUGAAAAAGAAAUGAAAUAACCCAACAAAGCAAAAAGAAGCAGAGACCAACCCUCGUACCUUUUGCAUCAUGAUUUAGCAAGAAAGCCCAAGCGAAGAGAGCUUAAGUUUGACCCCCCGAAACCAGGGGAGCUACUUCGGAGCAGCCUAAAAGGGCAAACCCGUCUCUGUGGCAAAAGAGUGGGGAGACUCCCAAGUAGAGGUGACGAGCCUACCGAACCUGGUGAUAGCUGGUUGCCUGGGAAAUGAAUACAAGUUCAGCAUUAUAAAUUCCUAGCCCUGCACAUAAAAGAAGCAAGUAAAACAUAAUAGUUAGUCAAUAGAGGUACAGCUCUUUUGAAAAAGAAUACAACCUUAUUUAGGCGGGAAAGGAUCAAAAAUCCAAGGUACCUCCCCCAGUGGGCCUAAAAGCAGCCACCUG
rnacentral:rRNA from 1 species